UUUGGCUUUCAGGAAAUUGGUUUUGCUUAACUGCAGAUUAAAAGGGAAUCGUGUGAAAAUCAUGAACUGUCGCGCAACUGUAAGUAACCGAAGUCUUUAUUAAAUAAUCCACUGUGUAUUUUUACGGGAAGGAAAUAAAGAUGUUACAAGUCAGGAGACCUGCCUUUUUCUUCACCAUACA
rnacentral:ncRNA from 1 species